CCAAAAUGAAGAGUAAAUCAAAUGGCCUCACUUCAAAGAGCAAUAAAUGUGGAAAUAAAAAAAUCAUAUUGUUCAAAUUCACUUUAAUUAAUUUUACAUUUUAUGUCAGACAAUUUGUUAUUGUUGAGGUAACUUACGAACUUUCAGCCUGUUAAUAUUAUAGGAUCAUUGUUUUUAAAGUGCUACCAUCGAUAUUCAUUCUGCCUCCUUUUGUCAAAAUUUCCUACACUUAUCUUUGAUAAUCAAGACUUUAGUCACGUGCUCCACGUGUACCGCGAGCAGACACAACUUAUGAAUCAAUAACACUGCCAGACGUGUCACUUGGAUGAUCAGACACUGCACACUAGCCCGCUAGAAUCCGGUGUGUUUCAUCGCGGUGUUUGGACAGGUUACUGCUGUUCCCGCCCUCACAAACCAUGUUAUGUUACUUUAGAAACAACGCGCUGUCUGCGUGUACUUCACAAAAAUACAGACAUAGCUCGGACCUUUUCGCUCGCGGCCGCUCUGCCUCUCACGUGUUCUCACCUGUGGAGCAGGUGGAGAGCGCGCGCAAGGAGCCCCGCCCCUCUCCACUGCAAAGAGGCAGCGGGGAAAGUGACUCUGUGCUCGCGCUGAACCGCGCAACUAUGUUUUAGGCAUUUAGACAAAAGGUGCACGCGCCCUGUCAGCUAAGAUAUAACAGAUAAUAGAAAAACAUCAGUGACGCAGACUCUUGUUUUCACCAUGAAGCGCUGAGCUGGCGGCCCCUUUGAUUUGCCGCCCCGAGCACAGACAGGCUUUCUCCCAGACAUAUUUACAAAAAAAAAAAAA